rnacentral:lncRNA from 1 species
GAAACGACGCGUAGCGCCAUUUUUAUUGUGGUUAACCUUUAACCGCUGCUUUGAAAUUGAAUUUUCCGUCGCAAUUCGCUAUUUUGAUUUGAAGGCGGUUUUCAUUUAUUUAUUAUCUAAUUAUAGUGCUUUAUUGUGUGUGAAUGUUUUUGUAAACAGUAUAUUAUAAAAGCAAUCAUUUAGUGUUUACCAGUUUAAACGUGUAAUUGUUUUUUUCGUAUAGUUUGAUUUAUUUGAUAAUAUCAUGGUUUAUAAGUGCUCUGUUCCCGGGUGCAGUACUCGAGGCCGAGGUAUUAAAUAUUAUAGUGUGCCGUUCACAAAUAAAAAAGGUGGGAAGAGUGGUUAAGUUUAUGUCCAUUCCUACAAAAUUAUCCUCCUACUCAACGCGAAAACAUUCGUUUUUGUCAUAAACAUUUUAUUCCCGAACAUAUAAAACAGAAUCUAAGAUUAACACCUAAUGCGAUUCCUUUAGUAAACUUAGGAAAUACAGAUAAAUAUAAAGUUACAAACCGAGAUUUGAUAUUAGAAAUUGAACCCACUAGUAGCAUUACUGAACCCUUUAUUUUUAAAGUAGUUAACCCUUCUGAACUUAAUCGACCCACUAUAGAGCAAAAUUGUUCUAUCAUACAAGAACAUCAAAGUUCUGAGCUGUCUAGCACGGUAUCAAUUCAUGCUUCAUUGAAUGAAGCAAAUAGUAGUACUCCAACUCAAUUUACUCCCAAUAUACCUCACAAUACGCAAUACCCAAUAUGUAUAACCCCUUCCACAUCAACCACCAUUGCUGUGUGUAAUGAGCACAAAUUAAAAAGUCACAGCCUAGUUAAACGUAGAUUAACUAAUCGUAUUAGAUUAAAUCCCAAUGAAUGUACCCCUCGUAAACGAAUUUUACGCUCUUCAAUUCACAUUUUAAAGAAUAAAUUACGUCUCUUGCAAUCAAGGUAUAAAAAGUUAAAGACUAGAUUUGACCUUCAUGCACCAAAAACAAAGGUGUUCUUGAAAAAAUAUAACAUUUUGAGUACAUAUGGGAAAUUAUUAGUAGAUUCACAAUUACGUUUGACUGGUAAUUCAUUAAAAGGUCGCCGUUACACAGACUCAGAAAAAGUUUUUGCUUUAUCAUUAUAUAAGUUAAGCCCUAAGUGCUAUAGAUUUUUUACGAAAACAUUUAGCAUUACCAUGUAAAUCCCGAAUUAAUUCUCUACUCAGCAAUAUUCCUUUGAGGCCUGGUAUUAAUGACUUUAUAUUUCAACAUUUGGCAGAUGCUGCCUUGGAUAAACCCGCAAUAGACAGGCAAUGCACAUUAAUGUUUGAUGAAAUGUCCAUUAAAAAACACUUAAAUUUUAAUUUCUUUACUGGGGUCAUUGAAGGUUUUGAAGAUAUAGGUUCUGGCAAACGCACAAACAAUGUGGCUGAUAAAGCUUUAGUUUUUAUGUUACAGGGUUUGUUUUCUCCUUGGAAAAUUCAAUUGCAUUUUAUUUUGCUCGAGAUGGGGUUAAAACAUUUGUUUUAAAAAUAUUAUUAAAGAAAUAGUAUUAGCAGUUUUUAAAUCUGGAUUCAUAGUAAGAGCUACAAUCAGUGACCAAGGUUCUGCCAAUGUUGCUGCUAUUAAGUCAUUAAUAUCAGAUUCUAAUGCUGAACUCCUACGUAGUAACAAAUAUACCAAUGACAUCUGUUAUAAAAUCGGCCCAAACCAACUGUACCAUAUCUAUGAUGUACCUCAUUUAUUGAAAUGUUUUCGCAAUAAUUUUCAGAAAAAACCUACUCAUUGGCAACCAAAGGGCAAAGUGGGAGUAUAUUGAGAGACUUUAUAAAGUGGAUGGUUUUGGUGGCAGAGCAAGAAGCACCAAACUUACUGAGAAGCACAUAAAUCCAACUUCAUAUGACAAAAUGAAGGUCAAAUUUGCAGCCCAAGUUUUUAGCCGGCAAGUGGCUACAUCACUAGAAAUCCAGAUGAAGUCUCUGCUAUCUCUCAGGAUCAUGAUUACAUAAGUUUAAAUGAAGACAUUGGAAAUGGUUUGUUCACAGCAGAAAUUCUUCUUUUAUAAAUAAUUUGUUUGAUAGUUUAAAUGGUUUUGGUCAUUAUGGGAAUAAGUUAAAACAUGCUCUUUCAUAUAAUUCGGAGCACAUUGCAUUCUGGAAUGAUGCUGUGAAAAAGCUAGCUUCAAUGCGCUUUGACGCUUCCAAUGAAAGGGAAAGGAAGCCUUUAUCACUGAAGCAUUUUGAACAUAAUAUAAAAACAAUAAAACAUUUGUGGUCAGAUCUGCUGAGAAUUGAUGGUGUUAAAUUUUUAAGUCUUAGACGUCUUAAUCAAGAUCCGAUAGAAAACUUUUUUGGUCAAAUAAGGGCACAUGGUAAUUUUAGUACAAAUCCUAAUUGUACUCAUUUUGUAUCGGCUUUUAAAACCUUGUUGAUUAACAACAUUACUACCGGUAAAUCUUUAUACACUAAUUGUUCUGAUGAUGAUGACAAAAUGUUGGGAACAUUAAAACAUUUAGUCAGCCACCAAAAAUAUGGUUCAUACACUGAUAGUCUUCAAUGUAAUGAAACUAACUUUAUAGAAAUUUCUAUACCUAACGAGAAUAUAUUCCAACAUAAGUCUGUACCAUAUAUUGCUGGUGCAGUUUGUCGUUUUGAUGUCCAAUUUGAACUGCAAAGAUUGUGAUAAUUGUACAAAAGCACUAUUAUCUCAGAGAGAGUCAUUUCACGAAUUAAUUAAUUUAAGAGAAUAUAGUUCCAAUGUAGAUAGGUUAUGUUAUCCUUCUAAUAAUUUUAGUCAAAUGGUCUGGCAGAGUAUUUACAUUAUUGACAAGAUGAUGCCAUUUCUUUGCAGUGUUUAUAUUUAUUCUGACUUAAUAAGUAAUUUAAUAAAAUAUAUUGACACUACUUGGUACAACUGUAAUAUUCACAAAACGGCUGUUAUUAAAGCUUUUGGUCCUACAUAGUUAGAAUGCAAGUUAAGCAGUGGUGUAUUAAUUUUAAUAAUAGAAUGAAUAAUAUUGAUUCAAGGCCUAAAAGAUAUAGAAAUGGAAACUCUAAUCCGUGAGAAAGUCACAAAAGGAUUGAGUUAUAGAUCACAAA